GAACGCUGGCGGCGUGCUUAACACAUGCAAGUCGAACGCGAAAGGGACUUCGGUCCUGAGUAAAGUGGCGCACGGGUGAGUAACGCGUAGAUAACCUGUCUUCAUGUCUGGAAUAAUACGCCGAAAGGGGUACUAAUACCGGAUAUUCUUGCUUUUCAUAAGUUAUGCAAGCAAAGGUGGCCUCUGCAUAUGCUACUGCAUGAAGAGGGGUCUGCGUACCAUUAGCUAGUAGGUGGGGUAAUGGCCUACCUAGGCGACGAUGGUUAGCGGGUCUGAGAGGAUGAUCCGCCACACUGGCACUGGAACACGGGCCAGACUCCUACGGGAGGCAGCAGUGAGGAAUAUUGCGCAAUGGGGGAAACCCUGACGCAGCGACGCCGCGUGAGUGAAGGAAGGCCUUCGGGUCGUAAAGCUCUGUCAAGAGGAAAGAAGUGUACAAUGGCUAAUACCUGUUGUAUUUGACGGUACCUCUAAAGGAAGCACCGGCUAACUCCGUGCCAGCAGCCGC
rnacentral:rRNA from 1 species